CCAGCUUACACGAUGUCUAAAAGGACAUUAAAUUUAUUAUCUCAUGUUACAAGUAAGUAUCUUUAUAUUAUUAUCUAUAUUUGUUCUGUUAUACAAAUAAUUAAUUCAGAAAAAUAAUGUGGUAAUUUAAAGCUUCAGAAACUAAUGUCACAUAUUCUGCUAAGAGAAAACUUAAUUUUAAUGGACUUCCACAUAAAAAAAUCCAGGAAUGGGUGAAUCUCUUACAUAACAAUAAAAAAAAUAAUGAGGUUGAAGUGCCUCAGGUAUAUAGUAAAUUACCAGCUCAAGAAUCAAAAGAUAAUACUAUAAAUUUGAAUGGAAAAGUUUUUGAAAUUAUAACUGAAGAUGAAUAUAAUAUUCAUAAUAAUAAUUCACUUAAUGAGCCUGAAAAGCUAUAUGAGUAUAAACAACAUAAGGAGAUACUUGAAU